rnacentral:rRNA from 1 species
UACGUAGGGUGCGAGCGUUGUCCGGAAUUAUUGGGCGUAAAGAGCUUGUAGGCGGUUUGUCGCGUCUGCUGUGAAAAUCCGGGGCUCAACCCCGGACUUGCAGUGGGUACGGGCAGACUAGAGUGUGGUAGGGGAGACUGGAAUUCCUGGUGUAGCGGUGGAAUGCGCAGAUAUCAGGAGGAACACCGAUGGCGAAGGCAGGUCCCUGGGCCACUACUGACGCUGAGAAGCGAAAGCAUGGGGAGCGAACAGG